GACGCUGAGUAGCCUAAUCAGGUUAGCGCGUUGGACUCCGUAUCGAGCAGUCAAGGUUCGAGCCCUGGCUGGGUCA